rnacentral:rRNA from 1 species
AGGAUAAGAAGACAUAUUAGUUGUACCUUUUGUAUCAGGGGAAUUUAAAAAUAAACUUAGUUUAUUGUCGAAUUAAUCAGAUCUUCUAUGGGUUUAGUUAUUAAUGGCAUCUAAUGGACAAAGUCGUUUAAGAGGUAAAAAGUGUACGGUGGUUAGUGUAUCUAUUUGUUUUUGUUAUAAAGGGAUAAGCUUUUAGUAAUCUAAAAAAUAGCACGGUGAAAAAAACUAGGCUUUAAAGUAGCUAAGUUGUCAUAUUGUUUAAAAUGAUUUUUUAUAUAAGGUAGGUAUAGAUUUUAAGAAACUAUAUCAAUAAUUAUUAAUUUAUAAAAAUAAUGAAUUUAUUGAAUAGUGAAUGAAAUCUUAAAAGAACUCAAAAUAUUUUAGAGAGUUUAACAAAAACAUUUCUAUGCGAAGGUAACAAAGUAAUACCUGCCCAAUGAUAGUUAAAUGGCUGCGGUAUUUUGACUGUGCUAAGGUAGCAUAAUCAAUUGUUUCUUAAUUGGUAACUGGAAUGAAAGGUUUAACUAUCAUAUUUAGUUUGUUAAGUUAAAUAGAAUAUUAAAGUCAAGGUAAUAAUUCUUUGAUUUUCUAGGGGACGAUAAGACCCUAGAAGCUUGAUAAAUUGAGUACACAUUGGUUGUGAGGUUAAAUUUAUUUAACUGGGGCGGUGGCAAUAAAUAAACUAUUGUAAAUUUAAUAGAUCCUUAUAAUAAAGACAAAAUGGUAAGUUACUCUAGGGUUAACAGUGUAAUGUACUUGGAGAGAUCUUAUUGAUAAGUACGGUUACAACCUCGAUGUUGAAUUAAGAGUUCUUAAUGGUGCAGUGGUCAUAGGAGAAGGUU